rnacentral:rRNA from 1 species
GCAGGUCUGCAACUUACCCCGAGGGGACCUACCCUGUAGGGACCUUACCCGGUAGUUGCCGGCAUAACCUGCCGGUGGUCUACUAAACUCUGUUUACUAUGUUAUUCUGAAUAAUAUAACUAAAUAAGUUAAAACUUUCAACAACGGAUCUCU